CGAGUGGGAAACGUUUAGUCGCUGACAGCGUCCCACCCACACCACACACAGCUUAAUCACCAUUUCGCCACAUCUUUAUUUAUUGUUUUUACACGAAACGAUACGACCCUCUGCGUAGUGCAUACCCAAGAGUAAGUACUAGAGAGAAUACGUUCAUCGGGUCCCUGGCGCGUACUAGGCAGCAGCAUCAGCAGCCGCAUCGUGCUCGCUUCCUUGGAGAGCCGGCCGGGAUUCCCACGACGCUCGCCAGGAUUUUCGCCAUCGCUAGGGCCCGACGGCGUCCACGUUGCCAGCUUCUACCCCACAUUCUACUCGCACGUCCUCCAAAACGAAAGCGAAUCAAAAUUAGCGCAGGACAGCGCACCAACACGCGAUACGACACACACACACACACCAAAGAAACAAUCUUUCAUCUCUUUGCCUAUCUUGUGUCUCCAUCUACAUGUCGGAGCAGCGCAUCACUGUCGCGGUGCGCAUUCGUCCGCCCAUCGGGCACGAGCGCUAUGAACCCGUGUGCGCUCGCAAAGCCGACGAUGACCAGACCAUCACCAUCAACGCAGAGGAGACGUCCGCGAGCGUCAGCGGUGUCAGUGUCUUUCAAUUCGACUACGUCUUCGACGAGACCGAUGACCAGGUCGCUGUGUACGAGGAAAGCGUGCAGGAGAUGGUCGAUCACGCCCUCUCAGGCUUCAGCGCCACCGUCUUCACGUACGGCCAGACCGGCUCAGGCAAGACCUACACCAUUCUAGGAAGCAAGUCAGCGGACGGCAAAGUCACGGAAGGGUCCGGCGCCUUCAUGCGCGUCUUCGACGACCUGUUCACGUACAAAGAAGCCGUCAAGGAUCGAACCCACAUUGUCAUCGCCCUCUCCGCGCUGGAGUUGUACGUCGAGGACGUUAUGGACUUGCUAAUGGACAAGAAGAAGCUGAAGCUGCGCGAUACACCAGAGGAGACGAUCACCGUUGGCAUCAAUACAGUGGAAGUGCACACCAUGGCGGAUGUCGAGCGCAACUUCGACGUUGCAAACUCCUUCCGCUCCGUGACGGCCACGAAGAUGAACGACACUAGUUCCCGCAGCCACGCGCUCUUCUUCAUUGACAUUUUCCAAAUUCCGGUCGAGAAGUCGCCGCAGGCGCCGAAGGUGUCGCAGCUCAUUGACGAAACGGGCAUGUCUCUGUCCAAGGGUGUUGCCGGUGUCACCAAGUCCCGCAUUGCCCUCGUUGAUCUUGCCGGCAGCGAGCGAGUGAAGCGCUCCGGUGCUACUGGGCAGGCCAUGGUGGAGGCCCAGGCAAUCAAUAAGUCGCUCUCCACCCUCGGCACGGUCAUCAACGCCAUGUAUCUGCAGAAUCCACACAUUCCGUUCCGCGAGUCAAAGCUGACAAAGCUGCUGAAGCCGUGCUUCGUCGAUACAACCUCGCGUCUGCUACUGAUCGGGCAGGUGGCGCCGCCGUCAAACAGCGCCUCCGAGUCGCUGGGGACUCUUCGCUUCUGCGACCGUGUCAAAGGGCUCAAGGCGGGGCAGGUCAUGGGCUUCACCGAUCCAGCCGCCGAACAGGCCUUUCUGCAGUCGCGCCGCGUCAACGAGGAGCUGCUGGCCGAGAUGCAUAUCCUCCAGGCACAGUACUACUACGAGGCGGUGAACGUGCGGCGCCUCGCAGCGGCCAAAAGCGUGCCCGUGGACCAGGAGCGGCAGCGCAUCGUGGCAGAGCUGCAGGCCGGCGCUGCGGAUGUUGUCGCGCGCAAGGAGCGGGAAAUGUUGGAGAAGGCGGAGCGCAAGGCGAUUGCGCAGCGCGACGCGGCGGUGGAGUCGUUUGUGCUCCACAUGAACUCUCUCAUCGAGGAGUACGAGCAGGUCGCCCACACCGUCAAGAGAGAGAAGAAGGCGCAGAAGAAGCUGCGGGAGGAGAAGAGGCGGAGCACGAGGUGCGGCUGCGUGAGGCCAAAAAGGCCAAGAAGCACCGGCUCAAGUUGCAGGAGGCCGUCGCCGAGGCACGACAGAACCUUGAGGCCCUGGACAGGGAGCUCGUGGCUCUUGAUAGGCAAAUCGAGGUGGUGGGAAAAGAGAACGCGGCUGGUGUGAUCGACGGCGUCGAUGAUGAUGCUGCGUCUCCGAACAAAGCGAUAGAUAGAGCGGUCGAGGAGGCCACGCACGGUCUUGUGGAGUCCUUUUACAACCAUGCGACGGAGCAGAGCCGUCUCUACUCGAUGUUUGUGUCGCGUCUGGCUGCCACAAGACGGGAGCGGUCGCGGGUGCGACGAAUGAAGCUGAUGAGCUCCACCUUAGUGACGGAUGGUACCCUCCUGUACGACCUGAUCGCUUUUCUCAUUGAUCGCGCCGUCGACGUGUCGGAGGGCGACCUGCCGCUUGGGGCGAAAUGGGGCUGGCACGACGUCGACGGCCUUAGCCAGCGUCUCCUCUGCGCAGACGAGAUGUACCCGCCCCUGUUGCCGUCUGCGUGGGAGCCGCUCCACGAGGAGGCCAAGCCGUGUCUGGAGCAGCCGCACAGCAUCACCUUCCUCAGCUCCGACGAGAGCGAUGGUGAGCACUCGCACCACGCCGCGGAGUCUCGCCGCAUCCGGCAGAUUCGCGACGCCGCCGCCGCCAAGGUUGAAAACCUGAACGCCUUACACGCCGACGGCGAGGAUGAUAAGCAGCACGAGACGAGUAACGGGGGCGGAUCUGAUGGAGACGGCCAUGACGGCAAGGAGAGCAGCGAAGAUUCGGCUGGUACCCCGGCGCCGCACGCGCACGAGUCGGACUGGAUGAAUGGCCAGCUUCUAGGGCGGACGCCGCCGCAGGAUGCGGCGCUGGCAGUGGCGAAUACAGUAGAAGAUGCGCCGCCUCUGGCGACGAAGGCAUGCGCGCGUCGAAAGAGGAAGGACGGGGCAGCUGCGGCUACUGUUACAUCUCCGAGUAACGGGAACGGCGAUGCAUCGACCAGCGACGCCGCGGCAGCCUCUGCGACGCGCUCUCCGGAGGACAGGCCAGGCCGACAUGGCAAAUCAAAGGGUGUGCCGGCUGCAGUGACGGCCGUAUCAGAGGGCAGCUCUAGCGAUGAGCCCGGUGACGAGUCGAGCGGGACGGAGUCCUCGGCGUCGCCAUCAGAGAGCGACAGCGAGGACGAGUCGCCGGAGGAGGCAGCCGCGGCCAAGGGUGCCGCCCACAAGGCUCAGAAGAAAGAAGCGCAUGAAGCUGCGCGCGAAGGCAGAGGCGCCGAGGAGGACGCGCUCCCGGUGGGCGCGCCGAACCCAUCCUACCAAGAAAAGGACUCCCGAGCGCUGAUGAAGGUGUACGACUCGCCCACCCUCGUGCAAGACCUCAUCCGGUUCCUCCGCAGCGGCACCCGCAUGCUCAAACACUGCCGCCGCGGCAAGCCCCAUGAGCGCAUCUUCUGGGUCUCCACGCAGCGUGGAAAGAAGGAGCUCUUCUGGAAGGAACCGGACUCGCGGAGCGUUGACUACUCGUGCAUUCAACUGUCCGACGUCAGCUUCAUUCAGCUUGGGUGCUUUGGUAAAGUGUUUUCCCGCCACCGCAUUCCGCCCAAUGAUCCCGCGUUCUUCCGCGCCUUUACGAUCGGGCUGAAGCAUGGUGGGCGAACCGUAGACAUCGUGGCAGAGACGCUGCCCGACUACGAAGCGUGGGUGGUGGGUCUCUCUCACCUCGUCGGCGUCGACCCCUUCUGGGGCGGCAAGAUCGACCUCACGAUGGAGAUCGGCACCGAUCGCCUCACCUAUUUCGAGUCGAGCGUAUGUGAGGCAAACUACAUUCACCCCUUGGAGUACCUGGAGCUGAAGAAGCGUGUGCAGCACGUCGCGGCGCGCACGAUUCAAGUGCUGGAGGAGUCUGGCCAAGACACCGCGCGUGCCCAGGCGAUUCUCGGCGGCAUCCAUCCACCUGCCGUGAACAGCAACUGUGCAGUGUACAUGACGAAAGGCGAGCUGCGGUUUUUGUUGCCCGAAACCUUCGACAUUAUUCGCGUGUCGCGACUGUGGAUGCUCUUCCAGCAGAUGAACCUCGUCUACGACGACAACUUCGCCCCCGCUACCGCGUUCGGCAUCACGGUGCGCGAAUCGUGAAGUUGCAUGUCUGCCAGGAUGCAGCGACUUUCCGCUUGUCAGGCUAUACGCCUGUCCUGUGUACGUGUCGGGCUGUUCCUGUGCGCGCGUGCGAGUCUACAUGAGUUUAUCUGCGCUCGGCCAUGUAGCGCGUGGCUGUGCGGCUGCCGCUCCGGCGACCCGCAUACGCAAUCCUCUCGUUCUCGCUCACAACGUCAUUAUGAAUGGGGCCAUCAGAGGCGACGAGGGGCACCGCUGCUCCGGGUAGCUCUCUACGCAAGGGCCUUGGCGCCGGGCGGCCCGCCCCCUCCUUUCUUCUCAGCCUAUAUGCAUAUUCCUACUUGUUUGUAGGACUCCGCUUCGCAUAGGAGCACCGGAGCCUUGAGAACGGCAAGAUUUCUGUAGGACGCGCUUGUGUGCAGGAAAGCGCGGAGGUGGUACUGAGAGUGCCGGCAGGCCUACCCGUUGCGUUGAUCACUGUCAUUGCGUGCGCGCGUGUGCGACAGCGAAAGUGGCAUCAUUAUCAUCAUCGCACCGCGCGUUUUGCACGUUGGCUAGUCUUCUAUCAUUCUUAUUAUUGCCCGUCCCCCUCCCCUUCGCCUUAUUUUGCGCGUGCAUGCACAUGUGUUUGGACUCUCUUUGUGAACCUGCAGCGACCCACUGCCGAGGGCUCAUUCUUUCCUUCCUUCCGCCUGUCCGUCCUUUGCUCUUGACGUGGUUGGCGGCCGUCCCCUUUCGCCUGCUGUGUGCCGCCAUCGCCUCUGCUUGCCUUGCCCUUUUUCGCCUCAGGUGUUGUUGCUAACCUUUUCACACAAAAGAUAUAUGAUGAUAUACAUAUAUACACACAAAUAUACGUAUAUAUGUAUAGAUAUGUAUAUCGGUUAGCAGCGCGGGUGCCUCGUGCGCGACACUCGGUUCCUCCUUCCUUUCCUUCGGCGUUUUGGCCGUGUUUUGUAUGCCUCUUCGCUGUGGUUGCGUCUUUUCAGCAUCGUCUUCCUCUUUGCCUUUUCGAUAUCCUGGCCUCUUCGGACUCGUCCACGUUCGCGGUAUGGG
rnacentral:misc_RNA from 1 species